rnacentral:rRNA from 1 species
GACGAACGCUGGCGGCGUGCUUAACACAUGCAAGUCGAACGGAAAGGCCCUGCUUUUGUGGGGUGCUCGAGUGGCGAACGGGUGUGUAACACGUGAGUAACCUGCCCUUGACUUUGGGAUAACUUCAGGAAACUGGUGCUAAUACCGGCUAGGAGCUCCUGCUGCAUGGUGGGGGUUGGAACGUUUCGGCGGUUGGGGAUGGACUCGCGGCUUAUCAGUUUGUGGGGGGGGGAGUGGCUUACCAAGGCUUUGACGGGUGGGCGGCAUGAGAGGGUGGCCGGCCACAUUGGGACUGAGAGACGGCGCAGACUCCUACGGGGGGCAGCAGUGGAGAAUAUUACACAAUGGUGGGAAGCCUGAUGCGGCAGCGCCGCGUGCGGGAUGACGGCCUUCGGGGUGUAAAGCGCAUUCGCCUGUGACGAAGCGUGAGUGACGGUAAUGGGUGAAGAAGCACCGGCUAACUACGUG